rnacentral:tRNA from 1 species
GGGCCCGUGGUCUAGUUGGAAUGAUGUCGCCUUGACAUGGCGGAGGUCAUGCGUUCGAAUCGCAUCGGGCCCACC